rnacentral:sRNA from 1 species
CCCCGCUGAGGGACGUCCGGGUUAACCUAACCUAACCUAACCUAUUAAUUUUGUGUAUAAUGAUUAUAAAUAUGCAGAACAGCUCUUUCUCAUAGUAUUUUAAAUUCCCCAUGAGGUUCACUUCUUCAAGCUUUAGACGCUCGGCGUAGACGUCCCGCUCGACGUAUCUUAAUUUUUCUCUUAAACGGCUCGCCUUCUUUCCAUACUCUAAAAUAUAUUUCUCAAAUAAAUUAAUAAUAUUAGGCAUUGUCAUUGUCAAAAAUAUAAUUACACUUAUCCGCAAGAUGGGUUUAACUUAAAAUUUCUGCAUUUGAAACUAGCCUUGGGAUCGCAAGAUGGUCAUGGGCAGGGAUGCAAUCUACAAAAGUGUCUCCAUGGUGCUGGACAACAUUGAGGCAUAUGGAUAUGGCCCGAGAUUGAUGGCCAUCAUCUCUGACGGAUGCCCCACCAAUUUGUUUGCAAAGAUGGACGUCGCCUAGAAGUACCCUGUGCUCUGGGACGUCGCUCACCUGCUCAAACUUUUGGCGAAGGAAAAGGUUGUGAAUUGGCGUUGCUCCUUCAAAUGUCCAAUAGUUCCAAAUAAAGAAAUUCAAUAUUUUUUCUUA